AAUCAACGCUGGCGGCGUGCCUCAGACAUGCAAGUCGAACGAUUAAACUUCCCUUCGGGGAAGAUAUAAAGUGGCGCACGGGUGAGUAACACGUAGGUAAUGUACCUUUGGGUGGGGAAUAACUUAGGGAAACUUAAGCUAAUACCGCAUAAUGCAGCGGCUCCUUCGGGAGACAGUUGUUAAAGAUUUAUCGCCUAAAGAGCAGCCUGCGGCAGAUUAGCUAGUUGGUAAGGUAACGGCUUACCAAGGCUACGAUCUGUAUCCGACCUGAGAGGGUGGUCGGACACACUGACACUGAAUAACGGGUCAGACUCCGACGGGAGGCAGCAGUCGGGAAUUUUGGGCAAUGGGCGAAAGCCUGACCCAGCAACGCCGCGUGAAGGAUGAAGUCUUUCGGGAUGUAAACUUCGUAAGAAUAGGAAGAAUAAAUGACGGUACUAUUUGUAAGGUCCGGCUAACUACG
rnacentral:rRNA from 1 species